rnacentral:rRNA from 1 species
UACGGAGGGUGCGAGCGUUAAUCGGAAUAACUGGGCGUAAAGCGCAUGCAGGCGGGCUUUUAAGUCAGAUGUGAAAUCCCCGGGCUUAACCUGGGAAUUGCAUUUCAGACUGGGAGUCUAGAGUACUGAAGGGGGGGGUGGAAUUCCGCGUGUAGCGGUGAAAUGCGUAGAUAUGUGGAGGAAUACCGAUGGCGAGGGCAGCCCCCUGGGCAUGUACUGACGCUCAUGUGCGAAAGCGUGGGGAGCAAACAGG